AAUAAAAUGGCUGAGUUAUAAGCGAUAAAUUGUAAAUUUAUUUACGGGGUAGGCCUCUUUUAUUA
rnacentral:tRNA from 3 species